CAUUAAAACUGAAAUAAAAUGAUUAGAAUCUUAAUUAUUUGGGGCAGGUUUUCUGAAGUUGGGUUCAAUUUUUAUAAACUAUGCCUGUAUUUUCUACCCUAUGGAGAAACACAACAAUCUUGAGCAACUAGUGCCCCCCAUCUACUUCUGAAAUCAAAACUCUCUUAUCUAUCAAUUUCAUAGCAACUGUGCAAUCAGGUUCCAAUCAGAUUCCAUUCAGCCAUGCCAGGUUUGGCUUAUGGGUAUGGAUAUGUGGUGGGGGGGGGGGGGGAAACUGAAGAGAUGAAAGAGACAUUAUUACUUUCUCAAGUAGAGAAUGGGAAAGGCCAGGAGUAUUCUUUAAAGAAGAAAGAGCAAACAAGUACUUCGGAAGUGUCAAUUUCUGCAGCCUCUUCAUAAGCUUCAUUGGCCAGGAGCAAGUCCUCCAGCUCUUCUUGCAAAGUGUAAAAAGCAAGCUAAACCAUUCCCUCUGCUUUCCCCUCAUGCCCUGCCCACACAUGGUCCAAUCAUCAAUCACCAUUUCUGCCCAAGGGCAGUCGGCACUGGUGCAAAAAAGGAAAACCAGGAGGGGUGAAGAGGAGGGAUUGGUUAAAGAGAGAGCUUCCCAGGAGUUCUAUGGUUGCUAUAGUAACAGCUUCUUUUGUUUAUACAUACUCAGAACAGCUGCUUCCUUUGGGUUUCUGGUGGCAGGGAUAUUAUAAAGGUAACUGACAGGGGAAGAAGCACCACUCUGACCACGGAAUGGUUAACAUAGUACUAUGUAAAAAGGAUAUAGAAUGACCAGUGAGGAUUAAAAAGGGCAAAGAGAGGAAAACAAUCCUCUGGAGGAAUUCUUGGGCAAAUGGAAACAAUUAAAUGUGGCAGGAGAGAAUGAAGAAGAUAAAAUUUGGAUUGAAGGUGGAAAAAAUAAAAGCAGUGGAAGGGAAGAGAUCACUGAGAAUCCAAACAGGGCCAGGGAUAACUGGUACACACUAACCUUCAAUUCAAAGAAAGCUAAGAUGAUCACACAUAAAAAUUAAAGCCAAAUUUGCACUCUUCUGCUCUGCCAGAAGUCUUCCUCACCAGCUGCAUCCCUCUCUUUCUGUAUACACAAUAGUACCUCUGAACAGUAGUGAACAUGAAUUGUCUUCGUGGCACAGCUAAGCCUGAAUGAUGUUAACAUUUCACAGAGACACAACUAUAAACAUUCUCCAAAACUAUCUGCAACAGCUCAUUACCCAAAACUACCUGCAAGGACUCAUAAAGCAAAAUAAGUCAGACUCACCAACUUAAAUGGAUUAAUAUUGUUUCAUUUCCAAUGUCCCUGUCGAUGCUCUGUGAGAUUCUAUGUUUCUUGGAUUCUUUAACAUAAGUUAGCACAUAUGACUUCUGCUGGAAUGAAAAUGACAUGCCUGGAAUUUCUUUUGUUUGCCUCUUCCAGGUAAACCAACAUGCAGCUAAAGUAGUUAAGAGGGAGUUAAAUCACUGUAAGAGAGAGUGGAGAUAUGAAGUCCUUGUUGAGGUGGUGAAAUCCUGUAUCAGGAUGUGACUGAUGAAGUGUCUGCUGAUACCAAACAGGCCUUGCGAUCUCAACUUACGACUCUGGGUUUGGGGAAAAGAAUGAAAUGCAUUGGGAAGCCAAUGUAAGUCUGAGGCUGUUCUUGGUAUUUACAGAAAGACUACAGAAAAAGACAUCAGAAUAAUGGCAAGGAUUUAUUUAACACCCUCAUUACUAAGUGGCCCUGAGAGCAAGCUUCACUGUCAAUUAAGAAUUUUCAAAAAAACAUCAAAAAAUAAAACGUUAUACUAGAUAUAAAAUGCCAAAACUGUGUAACUUGUGUGGUCAAUACAGUAUGUCAAACACAGCAAUAAAUUCAAGACAGAAAAGAACAGGAGAGAAUUUGGGGUUUGGCUAUUACGGAGAGAUUGCUGGAGAGCCAUUUCGAUGCGGUGCUGAGUGCCACUUGGGUAGUAACUGAUACUAAUUUUUGGUUAACAGCUUCUAACGUUUUAUCAAAUAUUUCUAGCUAUCUGCAGAGUUGUAGGCUAUACAGAUGAUUUAUACCUUAUCUUAUAAGCAAGGAAAUCUAGUCACUGAUGAAAUUCAGGUGAAAAUUCUUCUUAACAUUUUAGAAAGUAAGAAAAAUCGAAGUGUCACAUAGUCUCCAUAGCUCACGUUUCUCAUGCGUCCUGAUCUCAAUUUGUUUCUUGCUUCCCCAGCGUCAUGGUACCAUUUCUUAUCCUCUCUUCAUUCUUUGUGUGAAUGCUAAUUGAGCAUGUACUUCAUACCAUGCACUCUUCCAUAUAUUCCGGACAUGGAAAUUAGUGAGAUUCAAUAUUUUCUCCUAAUGAACUUUAAACAACAGAUGGUUAACUACAAUAAUAUAUAAUGACAUACAGCACAUUCCAGGUGCUACAUUGGAGUUUAGAGCCAGGUGUUGUGAAGACACAGAGAAACGUUAAGUAGUCUGGAGCAGGCAAUGGGAUCAUCAGAAAAGACUUCACAGAGAAGUCUUUUGAUCGGUCUUUGGAAGGCGGAUAAUGGUUUCUUUAGAGUGAGAAGCUGAGGGAAAGGCAAUCUAUUCAUUGAGGUUUUGAACUGUUUACUACAGAUGAAAGAAAACUUGUGACGGGUGAGCAAAGCCUCAGUGACAUAAAAGUGCAUGGCUUAUUCGAGAAACUCUGAGCAGUCAAAUAUUAUUGAAACAUAAGAUUUGUAACAGAAAUGGACUUAGCAAGAUAUUCACCUAAUAAAUAUUUAUUAAGUACAUAUUAUGGGCAAGAGACCAAGCUAGAAAUAACGCUAUGUAUUUUAUUGUAUACAACACAUCCAAUUACCCUAACAAAGUGGAUGUUAUUCUCCAAGUAGGUAUCAGGAAAUAAAUGAGGUGUAAGUAAGGGAAACUUGGUCAGACCUGUGAAUCCAGCUGUUCCUCUAAACAUACCCUACUAAAAACCCAAGUGAAUUCAAUUCUGAAAGGGACCAAGCAUCCUAUUAAAAAGUCUAUAACUUUAUCCUGAGAGUCUUAAUGAGUUAAGAUAGGUGUUUUAAGUCAAGGUAUAUCAUAAGGGCAUUUAGCAGCAAAUAUGGCAAAGUGGUUAAGGGAUCAGGCAUCACCACUAUAAGCUGUGUGUGAUUUGGCAAAUUAAUGUCUCAGGGUCACAGUGUUUUUUCUUAUAAAAUGGGGAUGAUGAGAGUACAUAUUUUAUGAGAUUGCUGUACUCAUCAUUUAAUAUAUGAAAUUUAUUUAGAGUGAUGCUUGGCUUCAAUAAGUCAUCAGCAUAUGGGGUUCUUGUUUCAGAAACAGCUUUCUGAUGGCACUGUGAGGAAAGGAUAGCAGAGGCAGGAAAACUCCAAUCCUCAAUAUUCCAGAAGAAGAACAAAGAGGGCUUCGACUAUAGCAUUUGGCAGCUACGGAAAAGUAAAGGUGUACUGGACCAAUUCUUCACGUUCUUACAUAUCACCUUAAUGUUACAUGAAAAGGAGCAAAAGAAACAAGGGGUGUUGACUAUCAAAUAAAGCUGAAGAGCCAAG